ACCUUACCAAGGCUUGACAUACACCGGAAACGGCCAGAGAUGGUCGCCCCCUUGUGGUCGGUGUACAGGUGGUGCAUGGCUGUCGUCAGCUCGUGUCGUGAGAUGUUGGGUUAAGUCCCGCAACGAGCGCAACCCUUGUUCUGUGUUGCCAGCAUGCCCUUCGGGGUGAUGGGGACUCACAGGAGACUGCCGGGGUCAACUCGGAGGAAGGUGGGGACGACGUCAAGUCAUCAUGCCCCUUAUGUCUUGGGCUGCACACGUGCUACAAUGGCAGGUACAAUGAGCUGCGAAGCCGUGAGGCGGAGCGAAUCUCAAAAAGCCUGUCUCGGUUCGGAUUGGGGUCUGCAACUCGACCCCAUGAAGUCGGAGUUGCUAGUAAUCGCAGAUCAG
rnacentral:rRNA from 1 species